rnacentral:rRNA from 1 species
UACGUAGGGCGCGAGCGUUGUCCGGAAUUAUUGGGCGUAAAGAGCUCGUAGGCGGCCUGUUGCGUCCGCUGUGAAAUCCCGGGGCUCAACCCCGGGCUUGCAGUGGAUACGGGCUGGCUAGAGGCAGGCAGGGGAGAACGGAAUUCCCGGUGUAGCGGUGAAAUGCGCAGAUAUCGGGAGGAACACCGGUGGCGAAGGCGGGUCUCUGGGCCGAUACUGACGCUGAGGAGCGAAAGCGUGGGGAGCGAACAGG